rnacentral:tRNA from 1 species
GGGCGGUUAGCUCAGCUGGGAGAGCGCCUGCCUUACAAGCAGGAUGUCGGGGGUUCGAUCCCCUCACCGCCCACCA